CGCAGAGCUGGCAAGGCGCAAAGCCAUCCGCAGAAUACUCACCAGGUUGGCACAGACCUGGGGGAACCGACAGCCCGAGGUGCUGGGUAACACUGGGAAAACUGUGUACCUCCCAUCCCUUUGUCUCCUUAUCUGUGAAGAGGACCUGAUGGAACACAGACUUGUGAGGAGGACGGAAUGAGGUCAGCUGGAAUGAACGUCAAAAUUAUCUAGGAACCAGCCCCUUGUGGACAGUUGCACUUGAUUAUCACUAAGUUAUGGCAAAGCGACAGAUUCAAGUUGUGGCAGUGCUGCUGACAGUUCUCCAGGACAAAGCUAGCCUCUCAGAAAGCUGGGAUUAUAAGCUUGCACCACCAUGCCUAGCUCUAUCGAUGAGAUCUUAACAAGAAAACAUCUCUCUGAGCUUCAUUCUUAAGUGGAAAUAAUCACCCUUACCUGGAAUGAUGAAAAGUGAAAGGCAAAGAAAGAAAAAGCAAGCUGUGAGAAGCCUGGCGCCAUAGUGGCUUUCAGACCAAC